rnacentral:tRNA from 1 species
UCCCAUGUGGCUCAGUUGGUAGAGCAUGGUGUUUGCAACACUAGGGUUGUGGGUUCGAUUCCCACGGGGGAC